rnacentral:rRNA from 1 species
UACGUAGGUGGCAAGCGUUGUCCGUAAUUAUUGGGCGUAAAGCGCGCGCAGGUGGUUCCUUAAGUCUGAUGUGAAAGCCCACGGCUCAACCGUGGAGGGUCAUUGGAAACUGGGGAACUUGAGUGCAGAAGAGGAAAGUGGAAUUCCAAGUGUAGCGGUGAAAUGCGUAGAGAUUUGGAGGAACACCAGUGGCGAAGGCGACUUUCUGGUCUGUAACUGACACUGAGGCGCGAAAGCGUGGGGAGCAAACAGG